AACAAUCCAGAGCAUUCUAUUUUUGGUCAUCUUCACCAUUUCAGUCAAGUGCAAGUCAUGGAGAAAGCUUGAGAUUUUCAAAGUUUAAAACUCUAGUUGAUUAUCCUCUACCUAUUGAAAUCUUCAUCUAGCAUCAAUUGGGAGCUUUAAAGUAAGAUUCUACACGUGGACGGAUUGGAGAAUUAGAAGAAUUGGAGUUAAUCAACGGGCUAGUUUAUAUUUUGCAAUUGGAAAAUUUGGAUUUAAGCGAUUGAGGCGUUCAGUAGAUAGCGAUCAGGUCGAGCCUCCACUCCUUGUUUCGGAAGGCUCCUUACGUUUUGCGUGUACAGCUUCUGACUCUCUAGCGCUGCAGUAGUUAAGGCGUUUACUUUUGUCGAGGUCCUAUUAGCGGUUUAUUGUAUUUUGGGUUUAGUAACCGCUCAUGUCUAUAUCUUUUUGUUAGGCCUCGUUUUCUGAUUAACAAACAAACAUCAGAGGUAGCUUUAGUUUAAAACGCUUAAUAUGUGUAUUUUGUAAAUGCUUAGAAUGAUACUUAGCAAUAUUUAUAUAUAU